CAACAUUAUUUGUGUCAUAAUGUCCAAACCUGAAAAGAUAGGAAAUACUGCAAUUAGUAAGCAAUUGCUCUGACAAACUGGUGUGUGUACAUAUAUAUAUAUUUAUUUAAUCAUAUGACUGUAAAAAUUGCUCCACAGCCUUCCACAUGUGUUCAAUAUCUCAGUUACUUAAUAUCUUUUUUAGACCCACUGUAUGGACAUGGUGUUUACUUUAUUCAAAUUCUGCUGCAGAGAACCAUACUGAUUUCUUUUUUCAUUUUUUUCUCCUGUAGUUCCUGUCACCGCAAUAUUUCAAUGCUUCACAAAUUCUAAUGUUUUUUUUGCCAGUACCAAAGAUAUAUUUGUUGUCACAAGUCCAGCUUUUCUACUUCAGAGACACUCAUCACUUGGAGAGGCAGUGCACAGAAAGGACACCUUUGAACAGUGAAGGCAAGCCACAGGCCAGAUUUCUGCAGGGAUUUUUGAAGAGGAAAGGGCACAAAUCAAAAAGCAUUGAAAACUCUGUUUGACUGACAGACUGUUUUUAACUAACCCAUGAUGAUGAUGGUGAACUGGAAUGAAGAAUGAGAAACAAUAUUAAACUGUCAGUGGCUGUGUCUAUGAGACUGGUGAGAACAGCUCUUCUUAUCUGUUAAAAUUGGUGGAUCUGGUAAAAGAAAAACUGAAACAAAGGUUCUCCCAAAUCCCAUCCCAACAACCUGUCAGUGCUCCCUGGAGCAGCACUGGUGGUUUCUGACCCUGCACUCAAAUCACUCUGCUGGGAUGUUUUCUGCUCAGCGCUGGGGCCAGUUUUGCUUCCUGAACUUCAAGGGUGACAUCCUAGUUACACAGAAAAAAAAUGGCCUUGUUGUGAAUCCUACCAGUGCGGAGGCAGGCAAAGGCCUGAGUACACAGCUCCUCCUGUGCCACUGCCGCUGGGGACACCAACACACUGCAGAGUCAUCCCACCACUGCCGGCCCUUUGGAUGGACCUGCUACGUUAUGUGACAUAGAUCAUUUUCAGUCAGCCUUGUAUUGAAAUCUGUCCAAGAUCUUGAAUAAGCAUGGGAUGGAAACUGGGAGUCAGUGGAGGAUAAGGAGCCCAGGUGUGAUGUGCUUAGGGACAGGACUGCU